rnacentral:lncRNA from 1 species
UCUCACAGGCGGUCAGUGUCACAGUAGCCUCGCGCAGCAGCUGCAGCCAGAGCAGAGAGGAGACCCGCACUCUCCGCGUCCAGACGGCAAAUGAAUCGCGCAUGCGCACAGCCGACGCUGAUAUGAAAAUGUAAAUGCUUCUUCACUGUCUCACUAAAAUAAAGAAUAAUAAUUUGUAGUUCUAAACAUAUGCUUUUUAGUCACUUUUUGUCUCUCCCUGGACGUUAUUCCUCUCUCCUACAGCCUCCAUUACAAUUACAUGCAAAUGAUCAAUUAUGCAAAUCAUUUAGCGAUUUCUAGCGACUUUUUGGACAGCCAAUAGCGACUCUCCUUACCGAGGAGUUGGCAACACUGCAAACACUGCCUGAGUUGGAGACUGAGAGCCUCGGUUGAACAGUACAAUGACAAGUUCUCCAGCUCUACAGGGAGAUGGCGCUACACACUAAUCCUCCAGGAUUUCUGAACGUGCCCCUCUGUCUUCCUGUAGCCUGCUCUUUCUUUGCUUCCUUGGUACAUUUAUCUGCGAAACAUGUCCUGCUCCUGAGAAUUAACAUAACUCCGGUUGUUUGGAGUGUGUGCAUAACGGAAAAUAUUUUCUUUGACACAAUGUGGCAAAACAAGGAGGACGAGAAGCUUCGAUGGCCUGGCAGGGACAAAUGACAUAACAACCAUUGACCGCUCUUUCUUCCUUUGUGUGCCAAAAUUACAAAUCCUGCCAGAGCUGUGUGUCACACACCAACACAGAAACGAAACCUACCAGACUCAUCAGAUGAUUUCUCAGAAACAGUACAGAGGGAUGUGCUGUUUGUGCCCAGUGGAGGAGCUCUAACACUGUUACUGAGUCCUGAAAAGGCAACUAUCAUUAAUGCCACUGGCCUACAUUCAUAGCUGCACUUUAAACCUGGCUUAGUUUGGUGAUCUACCUCAUAUAUGAGGAAUAGAAACAGAGACAUAAGAAAGUUGUUAAUCAAGUUGCAUUCUGGGUUCAAUGUGAGUCACUGCCUCUGCCUGUUCGACGAUGAUUUAAUUGUUUUAAUAUGUUAUCUGGAGACUUUCAUUCCUGUGUUUAUAAAACAAUUAAAAGCCCCAAAUUAAA